GUUCUAACUUCUCCACUAGUAGGUCUGCAAGAUUCCAAUGGAUAUGCAAAUUAGUUCACGCAAGAAAACAAGAAUGUGAAUAAGAUUACACCUCAUUGAUCCAAAAAAUACACAGUUGAUCAUACUGAAUGGAAAAUGGAUUUCAACCUUUCCAACUUCAAGGAGAUGUUUACAGCCUUGUGCAGUGGUGCCAGUCUACAGGUGCAUUAAGCCAAACCUAAAUAUAUUUACAUAGGCAAGACAGUGUUUGUGCUUACGUCUAAGACUAAGAUGUAAUAUCAGAUGAUUUAUUAUUGUAUCUUUGGAAAAACAAUAAAAUCAGUCCUCCAGUUUGAGGAGAACCCAAAUAGAUCCCAGAUCUAUAUUGAAGGCAUAUGCACAUAGGGUGAGGUUAAUAAGAGAAGCAAAUAAAUAUAAAAGAGAAACCUCAAGUAAAAAAUGAAGACAAAAGAAAUAUAUAAGUUAUAUAGUAUCACAAAAUUUUAAGCCAAAAAGUAAUCAUAAUAAUGCAAACAUUUAGCAACAAAGGUCCACCAUGUCCCACUGUAUCUUCCAUUUACUAGUUAACUUUAGGCCUUAGACCUAAAAAUGACCUUCGCAUGUUUUGUUCACUGUUCCCCUAGACAUGCAAGUCCACAGUGAACAAAAAUGGCUGUAAUAAUUUCCUCUGAUCCGAUAAAUGCUUAUCCUGGCACUAAAAAUCUCUCCAGUAUAUGUUGCUAGUUUGUGCACCUCAAACUUUCUCUUGACAAGCAAUGUAAUGCAAAUUGCUGAUAUUUGCACAUCAAUGAUAUGAAACCCUUUAAGCAGCCAGAGGGCUUACUUAGACCUUAGGCAUGAAACUUUGUGAAUGAACUUAACACGUCUUACUCACACAAAGGAAUAAAUUUUAUAUUCUCGUAUUUUCUUCAAUAGAGGCAUGUUAUACACAUUUUAUACACUUCCAAAAAAAGUAAUCCAAUAAUGAAUUUUUCUUUUCUCCCCCUUUUAAUUUUUGCCUGAAAAUUUUCCUUAUUUGAUUAGUUAUCUCUUUCUACUAUUGUCACCUCUUAUUAAAAUCAUAUUUCAGAGCUUCCUUUUGAGUGACAUUGCUGCAGAGAGAAGAAAAGAAGGCUUGAGUUUGAUAAAAUGCUCUGGCACAAUAGCUAAGUCAACGAACCUUGCCAGCAAAGAAUCAAUUGACAAAUAAGGAAGAAGAAUUCAGGACUUGGAGCAAAAGUUCAUUAAUUUGAAGGAUAAUGAUGAUUUAGGUACUGAGAUUCAAUCUUGAAUGGAAAUCAAAUUCAACUAUUAUUUAUUGGAGGUUAGGAGUCCUAUCAGUAAUAAAGAUUCUCCGAUUGUAAAGCAGACACCAAAAAAAUUGGGCAUAGGGAGGGUUAGGCGUUACUUGGUAAGAAAGCGAAUGUGAAAUGAUAGAGUUUUGAUACAGUCUGUCAAUCAUGGUGAGUUUGUCCAAGAACAGUUGCUAGAAAGAGAAUGCAAUAAGAUACACAUUUUAUUGAAUUGGUGUAGACAAUGACAAGAAAGCGGUUCAAGGGUGUGGAAAGUUAUGUCUGAAUCAAAUUCAGACGUGCACCAGAAACAAGAUGUUCAUGUUUGAUACUGCUGAGGCUAAAUAGGAGUUCAUAGGUAGUAGCGCUCUUGGUCUUUGGAUGAGAAACCAUUUAUCUUGAAGCCAUUGACGCCUAAUAUUUAUAAUGAAAAGAUGUUUUUUUAUAGUGAAGGGUAUAAAGGACAUAGAACAACUUGUUUUACAAAGUUACAAUUACUAUCAAGUUCUAAAAAGAAACUUUUCAUGACACUUGGAAGAAAAAAAAGGGUAUCAAAGGGAAUCAAGUAAACGAGGUUAUUUACCUAUUGAGAGAAGCCACAAAAGCAAACUUAUUAGUCUAAUAAAAGUUCAAAAGAACUUAUUGAUCCUUAGCAGAGAAAAUUGACAGUAUUAGUAGUUUUCCCAAAACAAUUUCUUCCAUGAACCAACAUACAGUAACUACUCAAUUGUUUAAUUGUCAUCAUUACUUUAAAGAACCAAGCAAACUUAUGAACAGCAUUACUAACUUGAUGGAAAGAAGAAAGGACAGGAAAAUGCACUCACAAUCCACUUAAAACUUUGAUAGAG
rnacentral:misc_RNA from 1 species